AGACGUCAUUUUUGGCCAAAAAAUUGGAUGAUAUUGCAAUUUAUGUUAUCGGUACAUGCUCCAAGCAUGCAUAAUAAUUUACCAUCUACAUAAAAAAUUAUUCUUCAAAAUCAACAUAUAUAUCGAAUAUCCUUGAGCUCAUAGUCAAAAAAAAAUAUAUAUGCAAACUUUUAACCAUAUCAGUUGAUAGGGAUGGACAAGAAAGAAAAUAUUGAGAAUGGAUAAGUAUUGUAAUAAACGAAUUUGUUACUAAAACUGGACAACGUUGUCAAUAAGAAGACCCUUUCAUUAGUAUAUGAUAAAAAUGUCAAUGACGAUGAACAUCUUAUUUCAUAAAGUAUGAAAUAUUUUCUUUGACCGUGUGACUUUAAGAGAAAAUACAAUCUAACAUAUUAUUUUUCGGAAAAUAGAAAGAAAGAAAAAAUGGCAUUGUGUGCUUUCCUAGUUUUUGAACAUUUCAUUCCAGUGAUCUCAUCGAUUAAUACUACUUAAAAAAAAUAAUGUAGUUUAUGUACUAUUUGUUAUAUCCUUAUAAUUUAAGAUUCUUAGGAGAAUGGUCUAUUAGGACAAUUGCAUAACUUGUUUAGCUCUCCAACUUGAUCUUUUACAGACAAUAAACUUGAGAGAAAAAAAGAUGGUUCAAGCAUAUCUAUAUUAUCAAUUGCUUAAAAUGUUUGACUAAUAAUUAAAAGAUAUAUACCAUUAGCUUCCAUCUCAAGAUAUAAGUCUUGUCAUAUGUUCAUUAAAUGUAGUUUACUCCGUAUGAUUUUCUAAGUUUUCUCUAAAACCUACUAAAAUAAAAAAUAAAGUUACAAUGUUUUGAAGAAAAAGAAAAGAGAAACUAAAUUAGAAGUGACUAUAUAUAUAUAUAUAUAUAUAUAUAUAUGAAGACCUCUCUCAUUAUUAUUUCAACAUUCAUUGAAAUAGCAUAAUUAAUAAAAUGAAAAUGCUUAAGGUGAUGGCACAUACCAUUCUACUUUGGUGGGACAAAAUGUUCUUGAAACUUUCUGUUUCUAGGAAAAAAAAAAAUUAUAGUGGCUAGACUUAUUGAAGGACAAAAAUAUAAAUAUAUCCUUCUCCCACAUUAUAUAUUCUUUCACUGAAAAAGUAAAAGUUUUCAAGUGUUAUGUUUUUAGUGUUAGAAACUUACAUAACAUGAUGUUUGAAGCCAAAAAAAGGUACACAUCUGUGCGCUUGAUUUCCUUGUUACAAUGUUUUGCAUCAUAGUUUUGGAGUAAUAUGUAUACAGAAGUUUUACAUUAUUUCUUCUCAAUCACCACUCAUAUAUUGGUAAAAACUUUGUUUGCUAAAAAAUUUAUCAAACCUAAAUUUUAACCAUACAUUAUUCAAAAAUUUUAUCCAAUGUUUCACCAAACAUUUCAUAGAAUCCUCCAACUUUUAUCAACUUGUAACAUCACAACCCAUAAAUCACACAAGUUUUAGUACAUUUCCUCGAACAGGUCUAUCGGCCUAUUUUUUAUACAUUGGAUUGGCACUCUUAAAAAAAGAAAAAAGAAAUUAAAUUCAUAUUUAUUGUCUCAUGAAGUGUUGUCAUGCUCAUAAUUUAUGGUGUUAAGUGCAUCUUAGUAGGAAGAAUUUAGCCCCUGUUUGACAAUCAUUAUAUGAAAAAAAAAAAUGAAUAGUGAUUUUAGGAGAAUGAGUGAUAAAAAUUAGCAAAAAAAUUUUGAGUUUAUGUGCAGAAUAUUUUAUUAUGUGAAUGUGUGGUUGAAAAUAAAUAUGUAGAAAAAAGAAAUUUCAAAUAAUGAUUAUCAAAUAGGGGGCUUAGUAGUAGAUAGUAUUAUAGAAGAAAAUGAAGUUGUAAUUUCAUUUUCUACACGGUAUAUUUUUAUUAAAUAC
rnacentral:lncRNA from 1 species